GCCGGGCGCUGUGGGGUGUGCUUGUAGUCCCAGCUAUUUGGGAGGCUGAGGCUGGAGGAUCUCUUGAGUCCAGGAGUUCUGGGCUGUAGUGUGCUAUGCCAAUCAGGUGUCCACACAAAGUUUGGCAUCAAUAUGGUGACCUCCCGGGAAUGGGGGACCACCAGGUUGCCUAAGGAGGGGUGAACUGGCCCAGGUUGGAAACGGAGCAGGUCACAACUCCUGUGCUGAUCAGUAGGGGGAUCGCGUCUGUGAAUAGCCACUGUACUCCAGCCUGGGCAACAUAGCAAGACCCUGUUCCU
rnacentral:SRP_RNA from 1 species